GGAUGUGAGAGCAGGGUCCCGGUCCCCGGUGGUACUGGAUCCCCCCUAGCUUGGUCUGUAUCAGCACCGGGCUGGGUGAGCUGGGUCCCGGUCCCUAGUGGUACCAGAUCCCCCCUAGCUGGGUCUGUAUCAGCACCGGGCUGGAUGAGCAGGGUCCUGGUCCCCAGUGGUACCGGAUCCCCCCUAGCUGGGUCUGUAUCAGCACCGGGCUGGAUGAGCAGGGUCCUGGUCCCCAAUGGUACCAGAUCCCCCCUAGCUUGGUCUGUAUCAGCACCAGACGGGGUGAGCAGGGUCCCGGUCCCCAGUGGUACCGGAUCCCCCCUAGCGGGGUCUGUAUCAGCACUGGGCUGAGUGAGCAGGGUCCUGGUCCCCGGUGGUACUGGAUCCCCCCUAGCUUGGUCUGUAUCAGCACCAGGCUGAGUGAGCAGGGUCCUGGUUCUCGGCGGUACCGGAUCCCCCUAGCUUGGUCUGUAUCAGCACCAGACGGGGUGAGCAGGGUCCCGGUCCCCGGUGGUACCAGAUCCCCCCUAGCUGGGUCUGUAUCAGCACUGGGCUGAGUGAGCAGGGUCCUGGUCCCCGGUGGUACCGGUUCCCCCAUAACUUGGUCUGUAUCAGCACCAGGCUGAGUGAGCAGGGUCCUGGUUCUCGGCGGUACCGGAUCCCCCUAGCUUGGUCUGUAUCAGCACCGGGCUGGGUGAGCAGGGUCGUGGUCCCUAGUGGUACCGUAUCCCCUCUAGCUGGGUCUGUAUCAGCACCGGGCUGGAUGAGCAGGCUCCUGGUCCCCAAUGGUACCGGAUCCCCCCUAGCUUGGUCUGUAUCAGCACCGGACGGGGUGAGCAGGGUCCCGGUCCCCGGUGGUACCAGAUCCCCUCUAGCUGGGUCUGUAUCAGCACUGGGCUGAGUGAGCAGGGUCCUGGUCUCCGGUGGUACUGGAUCCCCCCUAGCUUGGUCUGUAUCAGCACCAGGCUGGAUGAGCUGGGCCCGGUCCCCGGUGGUACCGGAUCCCCCCUAGCUGGGUCUGUAUCAGCACCGGGCUGGGUGAGCAGGGUCCUGGUCCCUAGUGGUACCGGAUCCCCCCUACCUGGGUCUGUAUCAGCACCGGGCUGGGUGAGCUGGGUCCCGAUCCCCGGUGGUACUGGAUCCCCCCUAGCUUGGUCUGUAUCAGCACCAGGCUGAGUGAGCAGGGUCCUGGUUCUCGGCGGUACCGGAUCCCCCUAGCUUGGUCUGUAUCAGCACCGGGCUGGGUGAGCAGGGUUGUGGUCCCUAGUGGUACCGUAUCCCCUCUAGCUGGGUCUGUAUCAGCACCGGGCUGGAUGAGCAGGGUCCUGGUCCCCAAUGGUACCGGAUCCCCCCUAGCUUGGUCUGUAUCAGCACCGGACAGGGUGAGCAGGGUCCCGGUCCCCGGUGGUACCAGAUCCCCCCUACCUGGGUCUGUAUCAGCACUGGGCUGUGUGAGCAGGGUCCCGGUCCCCGGUGGUACCGGUUCCCCCAUAACUUGGUCUGUAUCAGCACAGGGCUGGGUGAGCAGGGUCCUGGUCCCCAAUGGUACCAGAUCCCCCCUAGCUUGGUCUGUAUCAGCACCAGACGGGGUGAGCAGGGUCCCGGUCCCCGGUGGUACCGGAUCCCCCCUAGCUGGGUCUGUAUCAGCACUGGGCUGAGUGAGCAGGGUCCUGGUCCCCGGUGGUACCGGUUCCCCCAUAACUUGGUCUGUAUCAGCACCAGGCUGAUAUGGGGGUCAGGACCCCAUGGUACCAGCUCC